CAAUAGCGUAUACUAACGUUGUUGCAGUUAAAAAGCUCGUAGUUGGAUUUCUGUGUUGGUGAGGCGGCCGGCCAUUCGUGGUUGUAGCUAGUUAUCACCGGCGCAUCUUGUCACAAGCCACGCUGGCCUUAACUGGUUGGCGUUGGGGACUGACUCGUUUACUUUGAGGAAAUUAGAGUGUUUCAAGCAGGCUCACGCCUUGAAUACAUUAGCAUGGAAUAAUAAGAUAGGACCUCGGUUUUAUUUUGUUGGUUUCUAGAGCUGAGGUAAUGAUUAAUAGGGAUAGUUGGGGGCAUUUUUAUUCCAUUGUCAGAGGUGAAAUUCUUGGAUUAACGGAAGAAAACUACUGCGAAAGCAUCUGCCAAGGAUGUUUUCAUUGAUCAAGAACGAAAGUUAGGGGAUCGAAGACGAUUAGAUACAU
rnacentral:rRNA from 1 species